UCCCCUUUCCCAGGGCCAGGUUCUUCUAACAUAACCCUUCUUGGGGUGUAUGUGUGGAGAUUCCUCCCUUGGCUGGGGACAUCCUCCAAGGAUACUCCUCGAGGUUGAGAGAAAGAGAUCCCCCCACGAACAUUGGUAUGGGUUAGU